GGGCGGAUGUCCCGGUGGGCUCUAUCCUGAGGACGGUGUGUUCUCCGCGUGCUCCAUCCCGGUGGAAUGUGCCCCAGCGGUGCAUGUUUUCCAAACCGGAAUCUCCCCUCAGAUGGGCUCUACCUCGGGGCCGUGGCGCCCAGGAGCAGACCAGCUCCUUCUCAAGGUCCGGGUCUGCCCCGGCAUGGCUCGGCAACGGGCUCCCUGGGACACCCCCAGAGUAGAACCUCCUCCGGCCUAUCCCUCUGGAGCGGCGGGAAAACAGGUUACCCUCUCCAGGGUGAAACUUGCCCAGGAGCAAGAUUCCAUGGCAGGAUGGGCUGCACUGAUGCCUUUUCCAGAUGAAACGCCCAGAAGUGCAGCUGCCACCGGAACAGAGCAAGACAAUUUGUUUACAAGGCAGGCCCGUGUUCUCGGCGACCGAGGGCAGGAGGAAGGGGAGGCUGCCGUCUCCGGGUCCACGCAGGCAGCUCAGGGGGAUGGCCUGCAUUGUUCCAGAAACUGGCUCAGAAACUGCUGAUUUGAGGGCUUGGGAGACACUGGAAAGACAAGAUUUGUACCGUGAGGACGCCUCUCCUCCUAUCAAUAGCAGAGGGAGCUUGAACAGCCAGCACAGUUUAGGCCUUGCCUUCCCCUCUGCAGUGAAUCCCACCAGGAGAUGCCCAGUGAAUGCUGGACAUUCCCAACCCUCUGAGUCACCCAGGGUUGCGCCCAGCCCCGAGCCAAGGGCCAAGGACACCAGCUGUGCUGCAGGUCUGCAGCCUCUGAGCACCUGAAGGUGGACAGAAGGAUUCAGGGUCUGACACGUUUUGCAGUGAAAACUGCAAUCCCAUACUUUUUUCCAGGAAAACCUGGUAGCAGAAUUGGAGUUUAGAGAGUGGGGUCAAUAGGACAAAAGGCUGCUGGUGAUUUUUCCACUCUACAUUAUUUGGCUUUGGAUACUAGGAAAAAUGACACUCAUAAAAGGCCUCCUUUGUGUACCUACAAUGGGAGUGGUUGCUCAGUUGCUAGUGCGAGUAUCAGUGAAUUUUUAAGGGCAGACAAGGCCACUGGUUGGGGGGGAGCAGUGCUGCAGCUGUAGGGGUAUGGUGGAGUGGGGGCUUUGCCUGACAGUGCUGAAACAUUAAAACCCCAGCACCCCAGCCCUGCUCGCUGGAAUGUGGCUGCCCCCUGUCCCACUGUGGUCCCACUCACUGUCACAGGGCACUGCAUGGCAUCUGGAUCCAUGCACUCCCAGUGAGGUCAGGCUUUCCAGGCGACAGCUCCGAUCAUUGUAAUUCCAAAGGAUUGCAAAGGGUGGGGGAGGAAACAUCUCUAUUUUCCUUCUAUUUUUAUGAGCAUAUGAUAGCACUUUGAUAUGAAAUUACUUGUUUUGCUGCAUCCCUUGGUAUUCCGGGCUGGGCUCCAAGCCACCCGGGGGCAGUGACAGACUGCCAGUGACCUCAAAGGCCGCUGCCCCAGGCCUGGCACCAGCCACUUUCUUCCUUGGUUUGUGUCCAUUUUACAAAAACACAGAAGAAAAAACACCCUCACAUGUCCAACCAGAUGAAAAUCCCUCUGCAAGACCACAUUUGAAGACUGUGGAUUUAAAUUCCAUGGCGACAUUCAGGCUCCUGUCCUUCUGCAGCUCCUGAAACUUCCACCCACUUGGGUUGUUUGUAGGAACAGCCACUGUCUCCAGGCGAUGGGGAUGGAUUAUAAUCUUUGUUCGUGUAUGUGGAGUGACUGACGCAGAUGUUUGUACAAUGGGUGCUUUAUAAAGUGACAAAAUACUUUCAAACUAAGUGGGCAGCAUUGCUUGCUUGAAGGAUGGCUUCCAAAGUACCAUAAAUCCUCUCCUUCAGGAGCUUGGGGCAUGAAAACACCGCUCCUCACAGGCGAGGGCACAGUGGAGCCUGAAAAUCCAAACCAAGGUGCAUGGCGGGGUUCUGAGCCCUUGAGCCCAGAGCUGCUCCACGCAGCAGGUGAUACACAGCACCUUCCCCAUUAUCGACCUCGUGUUCUCCGGUGCCACCACUGCAGGGACCACAAGCAGCCCUGGCCUGGCUGUCGUGUCCGUGGCACGAUGAGGAUGAGGGAGGGAUGAGGAGCAGCCCCUGCUGCCCCACCCAGGCUGCCCCAGCGCAGCCGCCAUCACUCGGCAAAACCCGAGCGGUACCUCCAGCGCCUGGGCAGUGCAGGGGCAGCGC